CCUCUUUCCCUUCUCAGUUUCUUCCGUCGAUCUCUGGAUCAAACCUCCUUCUCUUCUUUUCUGUUUUAUCUCCUUCUUUUCGAAAAUCAUAGAGAAAGUAGAAAUUAGGGUUUCAAUCUCUAUUUUAUGACAAAUUUGAAUCAAUGGCGGUUGAUGAAUUUUGGAGAAAUUAGGGUUGGAUUUCGGUGAAAAGGGUAUUGGUUCCUCUUUACUUCAAGAUGUAAGAGAGGGGUGUUGUGAUCGAUAGAUUCUGAUGCUGUGAAGAACAUAGGAUUAGAAUUCAGAUUUUUUCUGCUGAUUCAUGGCGAGAAAGAGAUGAAGAACUGAAGAUUAAAUAGAGAUUUGUUAUGGUGAUUGAGUUACAGAGAUGGGUUCAAUUGAUUUUAGGGGUUUGAACUGAUUUGGAUUGAGCAACUGAUGAUUAUUUAGGGUUUGUAGAAGAUGGACCUAUGCUCGAUUUGUGAGAAGAAGAAUUGGCAGUUUAUUUUUGCAACUGGGUCAUUCUCAGAUUUCGUGGGAGAAAAUCAGGCAAUGAGAUCGCAGGGGUGGCUACCUUUCUUUCACAGUGCUUAUCAGGUUAUGACAGCAAGACAAAGGGUUUUGUUUGAGUAUCACGGUACCAAUUACAUCUUCACAGGCUGUUGUAGAAGGGGAAGAGAAAUCGAACAACCUCGAGAGAGGGAUGAUACCAAGUGAAACAUAUUUUUUCUUUGAAGCAUCCAAUGCGAGUGGUAUCGAGGUUGUGUUUCAUUUCCCUUGUAACAUGCCCGUUUUCUUACUCUCUCCACAUGUAUUCUUCCCUACUAUUUAAUUUAGUAAGUUGUCUUCCGAUUGUUUUUACACUUUUUCUGCACCUGGAUAAGUUAUUAAACUAAUGUAUUUACUUGGAGAUAUGCAUAUUUUCAACCAACGUGAAUCCAUUAUCCGGCAUAAGGAGUUCAAUCUCCAGUCACUAGGUUUAGGUGGUCUAAGUGCAGAAUUUGCUGAUAUCUUCCAAAAAGCAUUUGCUUCCCGUGUUUUUCCUGCCUAUGUGACCAAUAGGCAAUCUCCGCUUAGACGAAAUUAGUCUUUUCUUAUUUAACUGGUUAUAUGGGCCUCCUGGUACUGGAAAGACCCUUAUGGCUCGUCAAAUUGGUCAAAUGUUAAAUGGAAAGGACCCAAAGAUUGUGAACGGGCCUGAAGUGUUAAGCAAAUUUGUCGGAGAGACUGAGAAGAACGUUAGAGAUUUAUUUUCUGAUGCUGAGAAUGACCAAAUGACUCUAGGGGAUCAAAGUGAGAUGCACGUUAUCAUAUUUGAUGAGAUCGAUGCUAUCUGUAAGUUAGUUCAAUGACGUCAAUUAAGGAAAACUGGUGAGGCUUCUCCAAGGAGUACUAAGAAAGAUUGGGCAUAAUGGAUGAGGCAUUUGGUUAUUGAUCUUCUUAAAGAAUACCCAUCUCCAUUUUUUUUUCCUUGCCUUUUGCGAGGCUUGCGCAAUUUCAGACUUUGUGAGUUGCUGGGCUCAUCUGACGAUAAAUUUUUAUGAGAGGCUUCUCGUACCUGGUCUCAAAGUGGAUGUGUGAAAGUGAGAAUCGAUUCUUUAAGUGGCCAGCGCGGGGAAGGAAAUGAGAAUGAAACUUCUCGACGAAUCAAAACAGAACUUCUUGUACAGAUGCAGCCUGUUGUAUUUUGCGGGAUUGCCUACAUCGAGUUUUCUGAUGCCCAAGCUUUCAACAAAAGCAAUCCUGCAAAGGAUAUAACGCUUAGUUGCGGUUAUUUGAAUGAUGCUCUAUUUCAUCAAAAAGGGUGGAGAACAAAGCAACUAAGAUUUGAGUUCCAUGUAUUCAAGUUUUAUAGGCAGUUAGUAAGUUUUUAUGUGUUUCCAUGUAUUCCUUUAGAAAUUUGAUACUUAACAAAAAAAAACAAAGUUUGGUACUUAGAGAAAUUUCAAUUCUUUUGUAAUUUAUAUCUGUUCAGUUAUUUUGUAAUAUAAAUCUGAUAUGAAUUGAGUGAAUGUGAUAUAAAUAGAUUGAAGAAGUUGUUGUUGAGUGUGGAUGA